rnacentral:misc_RNA from 1 species
UCUGCCUGGAGGAGCAGGGAAGCUUUACCCAAAAAGAGGACUCUCUUGGAGUCGAGAAAAUUACGAAGACUUUUCUUUUCUCUUGUAUUGUUAUUAUUAUUAUUUUUAUUUACUAACUCAAAAUGAAGUUGCACCAAACUGUUUACAGAUCACUAAUCGCACAUGCUACGUCUUGACACAUGCCUUCUUUCUAUUGGUCUUUCUCUUUUCCUUUCUCUUGCCUUUCCCCCACAAGAAUGUUGUCGUUUUACAAUCAACUAUACCCUAGCGGCAUAAACGACGUCAUACAGGCUCUCAGACGCCAGACCUGCAACUUCCUCCAUUCCACCUACAGCCAACACAUCCUCAGACGGUCCAGUUUCUCGGCAGCGGCAGCGCCACCGCCAGCUCCACUGCCGCCACCAACCAUCCAUAAUACACCAAAUAUCUCUUGAUUCAACCACUGGAAAUUAGUUUGAGUUUACAACCAUGGACGACGAUGUUUCAAACUCUUUUCGGCGAACGUCAAGCCGAACUCGUAAGGUUGCUCCUAGAAUGGCUGCUGCUCUCGCAAGCAGCGAUAAUCGAACUCAGGCAGCCAUCGCUCGACUUGAAGCCUUGGAAAAUGAUUAUGCUGGGAUGGAAAUGGUGGAAACUAAUGAUGAUGAUGAGGCUUCCCUUGAUGAUGACGAUGAAGGAUAUUUACAAAAGAAGCAGUCCAAGAGCACAAAACGUAAAACCCGGCAAGCAAAAGCGCUUGAGAAUGCUAGGAAAGCCCCAAGAAAUUUUCUUGAGCUCUUACAUGAGGCAAAUUUGGAAUCUUUGCCUCCACAUGUUCCAUCCUAUUUGAAGGCAGCUGUAGGACCUCCAAGCUCUACCUGCCGCCGGCAUUUCUGCACUGUUUGUGGAUUUCUUUCCAACUAUACUUGUGUUAGAUGUGGGAUGCGCUUCUGUUCAAUCCGUUGCCAGACCAUACAUGAUGAUACUCGUUGUCUGAAAUUUGUUGCCUAAUUGAUGAGACUUGAGCCAGUAGAUUUUGUAGAUAUAACUUGACCCUGGGCUUACUGCACUAUGCUGGAGCAGUCAGUUAAAAUAGCACGUGAUGUCAAAUGCAUACUUUAAACCUGUAGGAAGCAAUGUUUUGGACCAUUAUUUGUCUGCACACUACUCUUAAUCCAAUUUGUGAAAAUUCAAGCUGCUUGUAGCUGUCCAUUGAGUGUGUGUUUGUUUGUUUGUUUGUCAGUCUAUACUUUGUUGGUCAACAUUGUUUCUGCAUUUCCAUCUUGCUUGUUUAUUGUAAGUAAACACCUGCCAGGCUUUCAUAUUAUGAUUUGAUAUAGAACAGCCUGUAUGUCUUGGAAUUAAUGUUGAAAUUGAGGCUAUGUAAAGGCUAAAAAUGAGCGGGAAUGCGGAUGGAGAAUUUGGGUUUGUGAAAUGAUGAAAUUGAGAAGUGAAUUUAAACAAGAAGAGAAGAUUUGUGGGCUGUGAAUUGUAAAGUAAAAAGGUUUAGGCUUCACACCCAAGGUUCCAUAUGCAUCAUUGGAUUGUAUCACACAACUCAAAGCAUAAUUGCUAGAAUUGGCAUCAAUAAAAACUUCGAAACAACAUUACGAACAUAGGUAUUUACAGACUCAGAGUAAUCAUAAACCUUAAGGAUCUUCACCUCUAAAAAGUAAUCCUUAACCUUCAAGUAAUCCUUAAAUAACAAGGAUUUUAAAUAAACACUAGACUCCUA